AGACUCAAAUCGAUGAUAUGAACAAUGAAAGUGAUGUGGCCUACGAGAGGAACAGGUCAUGCCUUGAUCACAGUAAAUGUGUGACAGUGAGGACAACGAGACCUGUGACGUUU
ensembl:snoRNA